rnacentral:rRNA from 1 species
GCUUACACAUGCAGUCGUACGAGAACACCCUAGCUUGCUAGGGUAAGUAAAGUGGCGCACGGGUGAGUAACGCGUGGAUAAUCUACCUUCGAAUUGGGGAUAACGUUGCGAAAGCGACGCUAAUACCGAAUAAUAUCCAUUAACCUUCGGUUUUUUGGAUCAAGGGUGGCCUCUACAUGUAAGCUACUGUUUGAAGAUGAGUCUGCGUACCAUUAGCUUGUUGGUGGGGUAACGGCCUACCAAGGCAACGAUGGUUAGCUGGUCUGAGAGGAUGAUCAGCCACACUGGAACUGACACACGGUCCAGACUCCUACGGGAGGCAGCAGUGAGGAAUUUUGCGCAAUGGGCGAAAGCCUGACGCAGCAACGCCGCGUGAGUGAUGAAGGCUUUCGGGUCGUAAAGCUCUGUCAAGUGGGAAGAACCUAUGUAAUGCUAAUAUCAUUAUGUACUGACGGUACCACUGAAGGAAGCACCGGCUAACUCCGUGCCAGCAGCCGCGGUAAUACGGGGGGUGCAAGCGUUAUUCGGAAUCAUUGGGCGUAAAGAGCACGUAGGCGGCCUGGUAAGUCAGAUGUGAAAGCCCGGGGCUUACCCCGGAAGUGCAUUUGAUACUGCCAGGCUUGAGUAUGGGAGAGGGAAGUGGAAUUCCUGGUGUAGAGGUGAAAUUCGUAGAUAUCAGGAGGAACACCGGUGGCGAAAGCGACUUCCUGGACCAAUACUGACGCUGAGUGCGAAAGCGUGGGUAGCAAACAGGAUUAGAUACCCUGUAGUCCACGCAGUAACGUUGUUCACUAGGUGUAGCGGGUAUUGACCCCUGCUGUGCCGCAGUUACGCAUUAGUGAACCGCCUGGGAGUACGGCGCAAGUUAAACUCAAAGGAAUUGACGGGGCCGCACAGCGUGAGCAUGUGGUUUAAUUCGACGCACGCGAAGAACCUACUGGAUUGACAUCUGGAAUCUAUCGAAGA